GUCCCUUCGGGGACCUCCAAUAAAAUUGGAACAAUACAGAGAAGAUUAGCAUGGCCCUUGCGUAAGGAUGACACACAAAUCGAGAAAAGGCAAGGGAUCCA